rnacentral:rRNA from 1 species
CAACUUUCAGCAAUGGAUCUCUUGGCUCUCGCAUCGAUGAAGAACGCAGCGAAUCGCGAUAUGUAAUGUGAAUUGCAGAUCUACAGUGAAUCAUCGAAUCUUUGAACGCACCUUGCGCUUAUCGGUGUUCCGAUGAGCAUGCCUGUUUGAGCGUCAUUAAAUUCUCAACCC